rnacentral:rRNA from 1 species
UGGCGACCGGCGCACGGGUGAGUAGCACGUAUCCAACCUGCCGAUGACUCGGGGAUAGCCUUUCGAAAGAAAGAUUAAUACCCGAUGGCAUAGUUCUUCCGCAUGGUAGAACUAUUAAAGAAUUUCGGUCAUCGAUGGGGAUGCGUUCCAUUAGGUUGUUGGCGGGGUAACGGCCCACCAAGCCUUCGAUGGAUAGGGGUUCUGAGAGGAAGGUCCCCCACAUUGGAACUGAGACACGGUCCAA